UGCCUCUUCCCCUGGCACUAAUCCCUCUGCCUUGGGAGCUGCCAAGUGAAGGGCUGU
rnacentral:pre_miRNA from 1 species